GAUAGUGUGGUGUAGUAGCUUGAGCAUUGGACUAAGACUCUGGAGACCAGGGUUCGAAUCCCAGCAGUGACC